GUUGAUCGGUAACUUUUGACAUUUCUGUGUUAAUUUUUCUUUCGUAUAGACUUUAGUCAUAUUUAACAAGGGAAGCAACUAGAUUUUGGAAAAAGCGGAAAUAUUUUUAUGAUGUUCAAUUCCGGAGGAAAAUCAGAUUUAAUUAAGAGUUGGCUGCAUGAUGUGUCAGUCAUGUAACCGGCAUAUUCAUCUAUGUGCAGGAGUGAUGGCUGAAUACAGAAUUAUUUAUUAGUUGGACAACAGUGAAUACAGGUCACAGCAUGCGGACAGAGAUCCUCAGCUCAUAUGGUAGCCAGGGUUUAGCAGUGAGCUGACUCAAAAGAUGCCAUUUAUUGAUUUAAUGUGGAUAAUCCAUUCAGAUCAUUCACCAAUGAUGUACAACACUGAUGGAACUGAAGGCAAUACUUGCACUGAUGGUCAGGGCUGGUUAUUUAAAGUAUAUAUAAUUAGAUGUACCUCCUGAUGUACCUCCUUAAAUACGAGAUUUCUGCCAUGUGAAAGGAGCAAGUUGAAAGACGCACUGUUGGAGAUGGGGUCCAUGAACCUUAUGUAUACAGCUAUAUGAACAAGGGCUGGAACAAAGCAGACAAGACUGGACUUUUAAUUGUUAAUGAAUAUUUUAAGUUGUAUGUCACCAGUAUAAUAGGGUUAUUAUAAAAGUAGUUAGAUCUUGGAUGUGGUAUUUGGCUUGGAGUGCAUUUUCCCAGACCUGGAACACACGAGGCCUGCAAAGGCAAAGUCUGACCCGCUGUGGUAAAAUCGCCAAAGGCCUAAUACAACCUCCCAGAUCAAGCUACUGUUACAAUCGUACUUUAAUUUUUUAUCUCCAUGUACUAAAAAUCAUUUCACAAAAAUACCAUAUCGUUACAGGUGAUAUAUUAAAUUUGGUAAGCCUUUAAAGUUUAAAUUCAUGUUGCUGUUCUUGUUUAUACACAAUUGAUUACCGCGCCUUGUUUACAUGUGGGAUUUAUUGUUUGAAAGCGAAAUAAAAAUGUUUAAAAUGAAUAAGAAAAUGUCAUUAUAAAAAACUUGCACUUUUAUGUUAAGGGAGUAGUGACAGGAAAUUUUCCUUUUUUUGUAGCUCAACCUGAUCACAAAGUGCUCAGGGGUGAGUAAUUGUUAUCACUCAUUGCAUGUCUGUCCUCCCGUCCAUACUUUUCUUAACCUACAUCUCUUUUUUACAUAGGAAAAUC